UGGGGAAUUUUGGACAAUGGGGGAAACCCUGAUCCAGCCAUCCCGCGUGUGCGAUGAAGGCCUACGGGUUGUAAAGCACUGUUGGCAGGAAAGAAACGUCAUGGGUUAAUACCCCGUGAAACUGACGGUACCUGCAGAAUAAGCACCGGCUAACUACGUGCCAACAGCCGCGGUAAUACGUAGGGUGCAAGCGUUAAUCGGAAUUACUGUGCGUAAAGCGUGCGCAGGCGGUUCGGAAAGAAAGAUGUGAAAUCCCAGAGCUCAACUUUGGAACUGCAUUUUUAACUACCGGGCUAGAGUGUGUCAGAGGGAGGUGGAAUUCCGCGUGUAGCAGUGAAAUGCGUAGAUAUGCGGAGGAACACCGAUGGCGAAGGCAGACUCCUGGGAUAACACUGACGCUCAUGCACGAAAGCGUGGGGAGCAAACAGG
rnacentral:rRNA from 1 species